UUAGGAUGUUGGGAUCAUCCCAAGCAGGUAUGUGGAAACUGCUCAAUUUCCCCCCUUGUCACCCCACCUGUGGAGAGGGGCUCAAAAUAUCCCUUGUGUGAUAUCUAUCCCUGUCAUUUAUCUUCCCACUUGGAGUGAAAUGAGGCUUCACUUCCCUUCUGGGCUCCCCACAGAGGUUGAAAAGAGCCUGAGCUCUGCUGCUGCUAGUGGAAUGCUCUGCAGGAGGCCCUGGAGGAGUUCAGAGCCCUUCUGGCGACACCUGACAGCCGUCCCGCGAUGCAGGUCCUUCAGUGACACGAGGUGACAGUCACUCCCUGGCGCGGCUCUUAGAGACUCGGGUGAGCAGCCACUCCUCAGUGCAGCCACGCCACCACCGCCUGCGCGCCUGCCCCAGGGCGGCUUUCCUGCGGCAUCGGUCGGCUGGGCUUCCAUCCACCACGAAAAAAAACAAACUCUGCUAAAACGGUACAAAUUACCCCAGAAAGCGAAGCGGUUGCAAUGCACAUGGGCACCGAGGCGCUGCAGCUCCAAGAGCUGUUUUAUUGGCCCCUUCCCCACUCCCCUCCCAACUAAGAAUCCUUAAGUAAG